rnacentral:rRNA from 1 species
GACGAACGCUGGCGGCGCGCCUAACACAUGCAAGUCGAGCGAAGCGGCGAACGGGUGAGUAACGCGUGAGCAACCUGCCUCUCACAACGGGAUAGCCUCGGGAAACCGGGAUUAAUACCGUAUGGUCAUAGAUGGGCUCGCGUCUGAUUAGUUAGUUGGUGGGGUAACGGCCCACCAAGACGACGAUCAGUAACCGGCCUGAGAGGGUGAACGGCCACAUUGGAACUGAGACACGGUCCAAACUCCUACGGGAGGCAGCAGUGGGGAAUCUUGCACAAUGGGGGGAACCCUGAUGCAGCGACGCCGCGUGAGCGAAGAAGGUUUUCGAAUCGUAAAGUUCUGUCCUAUGGGAAGCAGUACCAUAGGAGGAAGCCCCGGCUAACUACGUGCCAGCAGCCGCGGUAAUAC